ACCUCGAUGUCGGCUCGUCACAUCCUGGGGCUGGAGAAGGUCCCAAGGGUUGGGCUGUUCGCCCAUUAAAGUGGCACGCGAGCUGGGUUCAGAACGUCGUGAGACAGUUCGGUCCCUAUCUGUCGUGGGCGUAGGAGAUUUGAGAGGACCUGACACCAGUACGAGAGGACCGUGUUGGACAGACCUCUAGUGUACCUGUUGUGGCGCCAGCUGCAUUGCAGGGUAGCUAUGUCUGGAAGGGAUAAGCGCUGAAAGCAUCUAAGCGCGAAGCCUGCCUCAAGAUGAGAUCUCCCUUAAGGGCCGUCAUAGACGAUGACGUUGAUAGGCUGCAGGUGUAAAGGCAGUAAUGUCAAAGCCGAGCAGUACUAAUUGCCCGUGUACUUUUUUCG
rnacentral:rRNA from 1 species